rnacentral:rRNA from 1 species
UACGGAGGGGACUAGCGUUGUUCGGAAUUACCGGGCGUAAAGCGCACGUAGGCGGAUUUGUAAGUCAGGGGUGAAAUCCCGGGGCUCAACCUCGGAACUGCCUUUGAUACUGCAAAUCUCGAGUCCGGAAGAGGUGAGUGGAAUUCCUAGUGUAGAGGUGAAAUUCGUAGAUAUUAGGAAGAACACCAGUGGCGAAGGCGGCUCACUGGUCCGGUACUGACGCUGAGGUGCGAAAGCGUGGGGAGCAAACAGG